rnacentral:lncRNA from 1 species
AAACGGAAGGAUGGUCUCAUUGGUAGCUGAAGGAGGAAGAAGUUAUGCUGCUGGUCAUAGCAAUGAUGCACCUUGCUGUCUAUGAAAGCUGUGAUUUAAUAAAGCAUGUAGAGAGUUGAUGGCUUUUCAUUUAAAGAUUUAAAUGUGAGUUCUUUGAUCUAUACUUGUUUUUUCUUUCCUAUAAAUAGUAGGUUUUAAAGUAUAAUUUUACUUUUCUCAAAAUAACCUUACUUGGAAAAUGGAAAUGAACCCAGGAUGGAACAUGAAUGACUUAAAUAAACUUCUCCAUUCUUGAUUCUGUUUUAAUGCCUUUACAUACCACUUUAAAUUACUGUAUUACAAUGUUUUGUAUCUAUUCAGCUUUAUAUAGCCCUAUAUUUAAAAAUCUGUACUCUUUAGAUCUACUUUUCCUGUUUGUAAUAAAUGUUGGUCCAUGUCUGUGUGAUUAUUCAGAUUUUACUCUAAAACUCUUCUUAUUCUAUUGUUUCACAAAUUCAUAAAUAUAGAGAAAAAUAAUAGGAAUUACUUGCAACCAUAACAGUGACCCGAUAUCUGAAAGUGCUUUGGUUAAUUAUAGUACUGUUUUACAAAUGAAAGAAGUAUUUGCAUACUUACUGUUACAAAUAGCAAAUUAUUUUUGUUUUAUUGCAUCUUUUUCCUUUUACUCACUCAUUGGUGUAGCACUCAUGUUUAAGUGUUGUCACUGUUAUUAGCAGUCUAUAGUUUUUUUCUCCUGUGAUCCAGGCUUUUCAUACUAAAACUUUGCGAAAGAUAAUAGUUCAGAUAAUAGUUUCUUUAAAUAAAACCUAUAAUUUGUAUCAUCUAGGAAAGAUUCUUUUCUCUGACAUUUAGCCAUUUCUUGUUUUUAGGUAAAGUAUUCUGCUAAAGUUCUUUAAAACUUUCAACUUUAAUUUCAUAUUAUCUGUGUGUAUGCCUGCUCACACAUGUGCCGUUACUUGUCUGUGAAGGUCAUUAGACAAUUCUCUUUCUACCAGUAGGGACUAGGAAUCAGACUUAGAUUGUCAAACCUGGUAGCCAUGCCAAGCAAGUUUACCCCCUGAGCCAUCUCAUCAGUCCUGGGUUUUUUAACUUAUAAAGCAGAAUUAUUCACAGCACUUAAGUGGCUGAAGUAGGCAUAUUGUCACAAGUGCUAGAGUAGACAGCUGCUAGUAAUUUUCAUCCUAGUUUGGACUACAUUGAAAAAGACCUGUGUCAAAUACUCAAAAAGAAUCUGAAAAUUAAGAAAAGGACUAAGUAGAUUUAUGAUAUAUGUACAGAUCUAAAAUUAACUGAACUAGAACUCAGAUCAUUCAAUUUGAAGUUUUCCUGAAAAUAUUAGUGUUUUAGCCUGAAUUUACACCUUUGUGGAAUAGCAUAGUAUGUAAUUUUUUUUAACUCAGAAUGUAGGCAUAGUCCUUUGGGAUGGCUCAGUAGUUAAUAUCAGAUGGGACUCUGGUUGAGGAGUUUAGUUUCUAGUACUUGCAUCAGGAAACUCACAACUGCCUGUAACUCCAGCCCCAGAGAAUCCAGUGAUCUCUUUUGCAUUCCAGUGUCAACUGCACUCAAGUGUACACAAUCCCCAAACAGACAGACAUACACAUAAUGAAAAUAAAAUCAAUCUUAUUUUUAAAAUAUUUAGGCUUUAUGUAUUAUGACUGUUUUGUAUGUAUGUAUGUGUGUAUGUAUGUUGUGCAUCGUGUAUGCCUGGUGUCCAGAGGUCAGAACAAGCCAUCAUAUUCUGUAGAUAUUGCAAAUUUUGUGAGCUACCCUGUGGAUUCUGGGAACAAGACUCAUGUCUUCUUGUUGCUCUUAAUCUCCGAGCCAUCUCGUGUGUGUGUGUGUGUGUGUGUGUGUGUGUGUGUGUGUGUGUUUUAAUUAUAGAGGAUAAUUUUGGUAUAUGGGUUCCUCCCAUCCCUAGAGAUGAGAUACCCCAAUAUGCUAUCUAUGAGUAAACAAAACAGUUCAGUUGUUUCACAAUAUUGUCUAUUCAACUUCCAUAUUUGGAAAUAGAAAUAAUUUUAGCACACAGGAGACUUUUCGAGGUUCCAUAACUAUGAACAUGUAGCAGUUGACUUUUAUUAAAAAGCAAAAGGGCCAUGUAAUGCCCCCUUUCCUUCUGUUUUCCCUCUUUAAGACAUGAUAUCUCAGACUCUUGCAUGCUGGGAUUACAGGCCUGGGCCACAUGGUGAUGUUUUGAAUGAACUUUGAGCUGGUAGGAUGUAGGCACUCGCCCACAAGCCUGGCCGCUUGAGUUCAAUCCAUUACAGGCAUAGUCUACCACACUGAGGUGGGCUAGUUUGUUUUUAAUUAUUGCAUAUGUGGAGUACCACAGCAUUCAGAGAUCAGAAAACUUGGGAGUUGGUUCUCUCCCUCCCACUGAUUGUUUCAGGGAUUGAACUCAGGUUGCCAUGCCUGUAUGACAAGGAAUUUUAUACUCUAUUGUCUCUGUGGUCCUAUUCUAUUCUGAGACUGUCACUAUGAAACCCAGGCUGGUCUCAGACUCUACAGUCCUCCCUGUCCUCCCAAAUGCUGACAUAGACGCUACUAUGCCUCAGUAAAAAGCUGCACUCUUAAGCGUAUUACUGAACUGGUUUUCUCUUAGAAAAUUCCUAGCAAGAAGCAAGUAGUUGGCUAGUAUAAUAGGUUAAAGUCUAUGGCUGCUGCUCCAUCUACUGGGAUGCACAGCCAUUUGCAAAGAUAGUGAAUGUUUGUCUUGGCUGCACCUUGUUGG